UACAGAGGUCUCAAGCGUUGUUCGGAUUCAUUGGGCGUAAAGGGUGCGUAGGUGGCGCCGUAAGUCAGGUGUGAAAUUUCGGAGCUUAACUCCGAAACUGCAUUUGAUACUGCGGUGCUUGAGGACUGGAGAGGAGACUGGAAUUUACGGUGUAGCAGUGAAAUGCGUAGAGAUCGUAAGGAAGACCAGUGGCGAAGGCGGGUCUCUGGUACGGCACUGACGCUGAGACGCGAAAGCGUGGGGAGCGAACAGG
rnacentral:rRNA from 1 species